AAUAGCCUAACGGCUGAACCAGCAACUUGGAGGAAUGUAUAGCGAAAGCUGUUUGCAUCACAUGAUGCAAAAUCGACUAUGUUGAAUAAAAUUCCAGGCAGAAUUAUGAUAAUGACAUUGUCUGUCUGAAUGUCUUGACCAAAUUACGUGCCAGCAGUCGCGGUAAUACGUAGAAGACUAGUGUUAUUCAUCUUUAAUAGGUUUAAAGGGUACCUAGACGGUAGAUAAAGCCUAGACAGGGACUAAUUUGCUAGAGUUACUUAGUGAGGGGGCAUUAAAGUACUAAUGGUGGANAGAUGAAAUUUUGUGAUACCAAUUCUUGAAAGAGAAGCAAUGGCACAGGUAUAGGCGAAAGCAUCCCCUUAUGUGAUAACUGACGUUGAGGGACGAAGGCUUUGUGUAGCGAACAGGAUUAGAGACCCUGGUAGUCGAAGCAGAAAAUGAUGAAUGUCAUAGAUUAGAUAUUUUUAUUCUAUAAAUGAAAGUGUAAGCAUUCCACCUCAAGAGUAAUUUGGCAACAUUGGAACUGAAAUCAUUAGACCGUUUCUGAAACCAGUAGUGAAGUAUGUUGUUUAAUUUGAUAAUACGCAAAGAACCUUACCACAGCUUGAAUAUGGUUAUGUUAUGCUUCGCACUUAAAUUUGCUAUGCAUGACAUUUCUUUACAAGCGUUGCACGGUUGUCUUCAGUUAAUGUCGCGAGACUUUGGUUAGUUCCAUUAAAUUAACGCAAGCCCUUACUUUAUUUUCAAAUAAAGUUGUUCCCCGAUAGAUUGGAUAUGAUAACAGGGACUAAGACAAAUCAUCAUGGCCUGAAUGCUGUGGGCUAUAGACGUGCCACAUUAACCUUAACAAAAGGGUGUGAAAUUGAAAAAUAGAACUAAUCCCCCAAAUAUGGAUAUACAUUUAUAAU
rnacentral:rRNA from 1 species